GGCACUGUGUGGUAUCUGCAGCCAGCUGCUUCAUCAACUGGUAUGUUCAUAAGUCAGUGCUAGAUUAGCUCAACAUCUGGCAUCGUUGGUCUUCAUGCUCCUUGUGUGUGGAGUCCUGGUAUAUUUGUUGAAACAUUC
ensembl:snoRNA small nucleolar RNA SNORA8